rnacentral:lncRNA from 1 species
UUCUUCUUCUUUAUGCUAAACCUCUUCACGAAAUUGAUUAUGCCAAGCACAUGUUUCCAAGCAUCAAUCAUACGAGCCUUGAACUUUAAUCUCUCAAAGAUCUCCUUGAAAUGCUUAACCCUAUUUUCCUUCCUAGGGUUUUUCUUUUUAUGAGGAUAUGGUUCUUUACAUGAUUUUCUUUUCUUUCCUCUCUUUCUUUUUCUCUUAAUUUUCUCUUUCCUUGACCUUCUCUUUUUCUUCCUGCUUACUUUCUUUAUUUUCAAUUUUUACUUUUUUUCUUUUUUUCUUUUCUCAACCAUGACUCUUCCUUCCUCAUCUUUCUUCUCACUCUCAUUCAAACUUUUUAUUUCUAUUUCCUCUAUAGUUCUCUCAUUAACAACUUCUUCUAUUUUUGUUUUCUCUUCCAACAUCUCCAGCUUUUCUUCUUCUUUCUUUUCCUCAUUGAGAACCUUAUCAUGUGCAAAGAUAGCUGCUUGACAUUCUUCUUUAGGGUUGACUUCAGUAUCAACCUUAAUAAUACCCAGAGCCUUCAGGGCAUGAGAGUGUUGUUCCUGCAAUAAACGUGCUUGUGCUUCUCCCAAUCUUUCUUUGUGUACAGGAGAUUGUUUUUGUUGUAACCGUUGUUGGACUUCCCCCAAUGUUUCUUUUGGUCCAGAAACUACGUACUGCCGCAAGAAUUUUUGGACUUCCCCCAACGUUUCUUCUGGUACAGAGAAUAAUUCCUGUUGUAAACGUUCUUUAGCUUCCCCU